GUUGUCUAAACACUCUCAAUACA
rnacentral:snRNA from 1 species